GAUGAACGCUGGCGGCGUGCCUAAUACAUGCAAGUCGAGCGAACAGACGAGGAGCUUGCUCCUCUGACGUUAGCGGCGGACGGGUGAGUAACACGUGGAUAACCUACCUAUAAGACUGGGAUAACUUCGGGAAACCGGAGCUAAUACCGGAUAAUAUAUUGAACCGCAUGGUUCAAUAGUGAAAGACGGUUUUGCUGUCACUUAUAGAUGGAUCCGCGCCGCAUUAGCUAGUUGGUAAGGUAACGGCUUACCAAGGCAACGAUGCGUAGCCGACCUGAGAGGGUUAUCGGCCACACUGGAACUGAGACACGGUCCCGACUCCUACGGGAGGCAGCAGUAGGGAAUCUUCCGCAAUGGGCGAAAGCCUGACGGAGCAACGCCGCGUGAGUGAUGAAGGUCUUCGGAUCGUAAAACUCUGUUAUUAGGGAAGAACAAAUGUGUAAGUAACUAUGCACGUCUUGACGGUACCUAAUCAGAAAGCCACGGCUAACUACGUG
rnacentral:rRNA from 1 species